GAUGAAGAACGUAGCGAAAUGCGAUAAGUAAUGUGAAUUGCAGAAUUCAGUGAAUCAUCGAAUCUUUGAACGCACAUUGCGCCCGCCAGUAUUCUGGCGGGCAUGCCUGUUCGAGCGUCAUUUCAACCCUCAGGGCCCUUUUGGACCUGGCGUUGGGGCUCGGCCGCUACCCUGCGGCCGUCCCCGAAAGAUAGUGGCGGUCUCGCUGUAGCCUCCUCUGCGUAGUAGUUACAUCUCGCACUGGAACGCGGCGCGGCCAAGCCGUUAAACACCCCACUUCUCAAGGUUGACCUCGGAUCAGGUAGGAAUACCCGCUGAACUUAAGCAUAUCAAUAAGCGGAGGA
rnacentral:misc_RNA from 1 species